rnacentral:rRNA from 1 species
UACGUAGGGGGCAAGCGUUGUCCGGAUUUAUUGGGCGUAAAGAGCGUGUAGGCGGCCUGGUAGGUCAGCUGUGAAAACUCGAGGCUCAACCUCGAGACGCCGAUGGAAACCAUCAGACUAGAGUCCGGAAGAGGAGAGUGGAAUUCCUGGUGUAGCGGUGAAAUGCGCAGAUAUCAGGAAGAACACCCGUGGCUAAGGCGGCUCUCUAGUACGGUACUGACGCUGAGACGCGAAAGCGUGGGGAGCGAACAGG